rnacentral:rRNA from 1 species
UAGUGAACCAGUACCGUGAGGGAAAGGCGAAAAGAACCCCGGCGAGGGGAGUGAAAAAGAACCUGAAACCGUGUACGUACAAGCAGUGGGAGCACCCUUUGGGGUGUGACUGCGUACCUUUUGUAUAAUGGGUCAGCGACUUAUAUUCUGUAGCAAGGUUAACCGUAUAGGGGAGCCGGAGGGAAACCGAGUCUUAAUUGGGCGUUAAGUUGCAGGGUAUAGACCCGAAACCCGGUGAUCUAGCCAUGGGCAGGUUGAAGGUUGGGUAACACUAACUGGAGGACCGAACCGA